AUUCUGUAUCUGCAACCUACAACUGCCCUCAUCCACCACACACAGGCUGAACCACUCUCCCUUCUCUGAGCUCUCUUGGGUAGGCCAUUAUCUGCUUUAUAUGCCCCAAAUUUCCCCGUUUCAUGUGCGUAUCCUACUACCCCCUCCCUGCCAUCGUUCCUUCCUUCCCUCCCUCCUAUCUAGUGGCAGAACUAACAUAGUUGCAACGGUUGCUAUUGCAACUGGGUCCUGGAG